rnacentral:rRNA from 1 species
UACGUAGGGGGCAAGCGUUGUCCGGAAUCAUUGGGCGUAAAGCGCGUGUAGGCGGCUCGAUAAGUCUGCUGUGAAAGUCCAGGGCUCAACCCUGGGAUGCCGGUGGAUACUGUCGAGCUCGAGUCCGGAAGAGGCGAGUGGAAUUCCUGGUGUAGCGGUGAAAUGCGCAGAUAUCAGGAGGAACACCAAUGGCGAAGGCAGCUCGCUGGGACGGUACUGACGCUGAGGCACGAAAGCGUGGGGAGCAAACAGG